rnacentral:lncRNA from 1 species
GGUCACCGCCUCUCUUUCGGUCUGGGAUGACUCCAGCGCACUGGAACAAUAAAUUUCUCUUGUUUUUUGCAUAGAUUCCAGCUCUGCUUGGUUCACUCAGGGGGUCCCCCAUAAACUAAGGCUUGCCAGAGUCUGACAUUUGGUGCAUUGGCCAGGAAUCCAAUUCCUUGUGGGAACACACUGAGCCUUCUCUCACCUGUGGGACGUUCUACCCAGUCUCACACUGACAUCUCAGGCUGAAACUCUCCCAAAGCCCCAUCCUUCCGGUAAGAUGGACACAUUCCAGCCAAUGAUGCAGCCUUCCUACCCGGUUUCUGUUAGAAAUGACUCCCGCUUCUGCCCCUUUCAUCUCUUUGGGGGCAGGAGCCACACCACUCCACACUCACAGAUCAUCUGCGACACUCAGAAGAUGAGAAACUCGCUGCUAUAUUUCAGCUUGCUUCAUUAAAAACAACUCUAGGCACUACAAAG